AAGGUAGCGCAAUCACUUGUUCUUUAAAUGAGGACUAGUAUGAACGGCAUCACGAGGAUUAUACUGUCUCCCUUCUUUAAUCAGUGAAACUGAUCCCCCCGUGAAGAAGCGGGAAUAAACAUAUAAGACGAGAAGACCCUAUGGAGCUUUAAACUUAACACCACUUAUCUAAAACACUUCAUAAUAAACAGAUAAGCUUGUGCGCGUUUUAGGUUGGGGUGACCGCGGAGUAAAAUUUAACCUCCACGUUGAAAGGCCUUUAUCCUUAUCCAAGAGCCACAUCUCCAAGAAUCAACAAAUUGACAUUUAUUGACCCAAAUUUUUUUUGAUCAACGAACCAAGUUACCCUAGGGAUAACAGCGCAAUCCAUUUCAAGAGCUCAUAUCGACAAAUGGGUUUACGACCUCGAUGUUGGAUCAGGGUAUCCCAGUGGUGCAGCCGCUACUA
rnacentral:rRNA from 1 species